rnacentral:rRNA from 1 species
AUUGAACGCUGGCGGCAGGCCUAACACAUGCAAGUCGAGCGGCAGCGGGACCUUCGGGCUGCCGGCGAGCGGCGGACGGGUGAGUAAUGCCUAGGAAUCUGCCCGAUAGUGGGGGACAACGUUUCGAAAGGAACGCUAAUACCGCAUACGUCCUACGGGAGAAAGUGGGGGCUCCUCGGACCUCACGCUAUCGGAUGAGCCUAGGUCGGAUUAGCUAGUUGGUGGGGUAAAGGCUCACCAAGGCGACGAUCCGUAACUGGUCUGAGAGGAUGAUCAGUCACACUGGAACUGAGACACGGUCCAGACUCCUACGGGAGGCAGCAGUGGGGAAUAUUGGACAAUGGGCGAAAGCCUGAUCCAGCCAUGCCGCGUGUGUGAAGAAGGUCUUCGGAUUGUAAAGCACUUUAAGUCGGGAGGAAGGGCUGUAGGCUAAUACCUUGCAGUUUUGACGUUACCGACAGAAUAAGCACCGGCUAACUUCGUGCCAGCCGCCGCCGUAAGAC